ACGAACGCUGGCGGCAUGCCUAACACAUGCAAGUCGAACGAGACCUUCGGGUCUAGUGGCGCACGGGUGCGUAACGCGUGGGAAUCUGCCCUUGGGUUCGGAAUAACAGCGAGAAAUUGCUGCUAAUACCGGAUGAUGACGUAAGUCCAAAGAUUUAUCGCCCAAGGAUGAGCCCGCGUAGGAUUAGCUUGUUGGUGAGGUAAGAGCUCACCAAGGCGACGAUCCUUAGCUGGUCUGAGAGGAUGAUCAGCCACACUGGGACUGAGACACGGCCCAGACUCCUACGGGAGGCAGCAGUGGGGAAUAUUGGACAAUGGGCGAAAGCCUGAUCCAGCAAUGCCGCGUGAGUGAUGAAGGCCUUAGGGUUGUAAAGCUCUUUUACCCGGGAUGAUAAUGACAGUACCGGGAGAAUAAGCUCCGGCUAACUCCGU
rnacentral:rRNA from 1 species